AUUGAACGCUGGCGGCAUGCCUUACACAUGCAAGUCGAACGGCAGCGGGCCCUUCGGGGUGCCGGCGAGUGGCGAACGGGUGAGUAAUGCAUCGGAACGUACCCGGGAGAGGGGGAUAACCGGCCGAAAGGCUGGCUAAUACCGCAUGAACUCGGAAGAGCAAAGCGGGGGACCUUCGGGCCUCGCGCUCUCGGAGCGGCCGAUGUCCGAUUAGGCUAGUUGGUGGGGUAAAGGCCCACCACGGCGACGAUCGGUAGCGGGUGUGAGAGGACGAUCCGCCGCACUGGGACUGGGACACGGCCCAGACUCCUACGGGAGGGAGCAGUGGGGUACGUUGGGCAAUGGGCGGAAGCCUGGUCCAGCAAGGCCGCGUGGGUGAAGGAGGCCUUCGGGUUGUAAAGCCCUUUCGGCGGGGAAGAAAUCGGUCAGGCGAAUAGUCUGGCCGGAUGACGGUACCCGCAGAAGAAGCACCGGCUAACUACGUG
rnacentral:rRNA from 1 species